CUUCUUAGUUCUAAAUACCUACAGCAACAACAUCUUUGAGAUUCACUACUUCUUCCUUCUUAAACUAUUUCAGUUUUUUUUCUGCUUUUAGCAACUUAGACAUAAAAUUUAAACAGACACCUUGUUGAAUAAGAAACCAUUUCUUGUGUUUAUGAGUGGUUCCUUUCCCCUGUUCCUUAUCCUUUUUCUUUCAUUCUUAUCCUUUACUUCAGCCUCCACUCUUACUCUGAAUGAACACUAAUUUAUUUUGGAGUUGUCAUAUGUAAUUAAUUGCUUUGCAACCAAUUGCAUCACUGAAUAGCUACCGCAUUUGAUAUCACAAUAGUCCAACACUGUGAUAUAAUCUAGAUAAUACUGUGAAAUUGAGAAUAUAGGUCAAUAUGUUGGAAAAAAUUGAAGAAUCAGUACUAGAAAAAAAUUAAUUUUCACAUGCUCUAAUCACGUCAUUUUUAUUUUCUUUUGUCAAAUUGCCUCUUUCUCAUUCCCUUCUCCACAUAUUGCUUCAAUCAUGUUUUUUUUUUUUUUUUAACGGUUCUUCUUUCACAUAGUUCUUUCUCCACUCACAUAAAUGCUUAGCCCAGCAUUGGAAUUCCUCCCCUGUGGGCCUUUCCUUUCAUCAAGUUCCAUCUUCAUUCUUCUCGAGAUGGAUUACAAAAGGAGCUGAUUUAAAAUUCACUGUCUGGUCAUGAAUAGACACGAUAAAGAGAGAUGUUAAUGUAAAAUUAUAUUACAAAAUGUUUGUUUAAAAAACUCAUCAUCUUGCUCCCUUGGGGUUUUCUCUACUAAAUUCACUUUGGCGAAUAAUGACAUUCAUAAAAAAUCUACCCAAGGGCCUUCACGAAACAAAAAGUGCCAAAAUGCAGCAUUUCAUGUCACAAAAAUAGCUCAGAAGUUAACAGGUAAGGCCACUGCUUUUUGUUGAAUUUAGUUGUUUGGUUUUCCAGUAUUUCCCUCGCAUUCUUUGUGAGUACAUACAUACACAUAAGCAUGCAAAUGCACAAAGCACACAUACAGAUUAGAAUUGGGUUUAUUUUAAUUUCCUGAUUGUUUUUGUUCAUCUAAGUGCUAUUUAAAAUAAGUGAGGUUAAUGGCAGUUCCCUCUCCUCUCAUUCUGUACUCUUCCCCAGUCUUUAUUUCCGGUGUGUUAGGAACUUGUUGUUCUUCCCAGAUAGUUCAGUUGCAAUUGGGAGUUGCAAUUUGAGUUGGUAGGUUCUCUCUGGGGCGCUGAGUAAAAGACAACUGUUUGCUAUAAUGGCCUACACAGCUGCAAGAAAAUCACUGUUUAUUGCCUUUAUAAAAAAUAAAAUUUGCUGCUUUCGCCUUAGCUUCUUUUGAACCUUCUCAAGAAAAUCAUUCUGAAGGGCAGAAUAGCAGACUUCUUAAGGGCUGGGAUUCUGGAGUUGGAUUUGGGGUUAAAUCCUAACUCUACCAUUUACUGUGUGGUAUUGAGUAAGUUACUUAACCUUUCUAAGACUCAGUUUUCUCAUAUAUCAAAUAGGUAUUUAUGAAGACAAAAUAAACUCAUGUAUGAAAUAACUCUUAUCACAGAAAAAAACUUCAGUAAAAUAUAAUUCUUAAUAUUGUUGUCUUAAUAAUGCUAAUUUGUAUUUGUAAGCCAAUUUAUUAUUUUUAAGUAAUUUUAAAUUUUAUUUUUAUUUUACUCCUAGUAGAUUCCACCUUUGAAGGAGUCUUACAAAACCAUUGCCUUUAUCUACAUUUAGCAGGUAAAUGCAAUGAUUAAAUAUGAAGAAGAGCAUUGACAAGAUGAAAUGGGCUCAUUCUCAGCAAUGUUAUUUCAAAAAGAAAACCUGAGUGAUUCACGUAUUCAUAUGUCCAUCUGAAAAUGUCCUUCUCUCAACAAACUACUCAGUGAAAACUCAUCUUCAUAUAGUUAAUGCUGGAGUGCUAAUAAACUGUUGCAAAUUUCAAAAAUAGUGUCAUAACUUCCUAUACAGAGUCUAAAGAAAGUGGAGGUGUGAUGUAGUCUAGGGUUAUCAAUAGGGCAGCAUGACUUGAUGGGGCUUAAGACUUCUACACACAGCCAGCAAGCAUUUAAUGAGCAUCCCUGAGGGGCUUAAUGUUCCAUACUAUUACUCAAGGACUUUUUCUUAUUUGCCAAGAUUACUUGGUAAAUCUACAAAGCCAAGUGGCCUAUGGCCAGAGUUCAAAUAGUUUCUUGUCAAUUCUUCCCUCCCUUUCACAGUUGCAAGGCAUGGAAAAGAGGAAAUGGGAUGAGAUGGGAUGGCUUUCGUCCUGGCCUGCUUCAAGCACUGUUUCACCAUAAAAAAGGAACUCUCCACUGCUCCUCUUAAACAGAUAAAAUAUUUUGUGCUUAGAAUUCAAUGACUCAUCCCACUUGGACAUAACUACAUUCUUUCUAGGGCGGAAAUCUCGCAUUCAAGUGCAGCUGGCCAAGUUGAAGAAAGAACUUCAAGGCAGUUCUGGGAAAGAACUUUAAGCCUUAGCCCUGAUUAUGAGAAAGAAGUUUUGCUCUUUGCAAAGGAUUAGGAGCAUAACUGUGCUAGUGAAUAACAAUCUCGGACUUAGCCAAAGAAUGCUUGGGUGGGAUUUUGAUUAUCAUUAUGGUAUUUUUUAAAAUGUAAGCAUCUAAGUCUUCAAAUUCUUUGAUAAAUUUAAUUUUAAUACUUAAUUUUGGGCAAUCAAAGCACAAAGAAGUAGAAACUGGAGUGAAAAUGGGUGGGUUACCAGAUACUUACAAUAAUAAAAGUGUCAUUUUGCCAACUUAUUUUGUAGCUAAAAUUACAAUUUUCAAUGCUAUAUGUAGUUGAAGAUAGCCAUCAUCUGCGAGUGCUUAUUAUAUGCCAGGAACUAAGCUAAGCUCUUAACCUGCAAAAUUUCAUUCAAUCCUUGCAUAGACACUAUGUGAUAGAUGGACUACAAUUGCCACAUUGAAUCAACAUUUGCCUGAGAGACCAAUGGGCAUUUAUUGAACACUAUUUAGGGAUUAAUGUGAAGCGGUGGCAAAGAAGGAAAGGUAUAGCAUUUAGAGGAACACAGUAUUUCAUAGAAUCUUAGUGAGGGAAGGGAUGUUGAAGGACUAAGGCUGAUGCCAACUCCGUUGGGCAAGUAAUCAUCGCUUCUAGCUUUUAUAAAUUAUUAAAAUAUAUUUUGAUUUCAGUUUUUCUGAUCUGUUUAUAUUGUCUCUUAAGUCCUUUAGAAUCACUUCACACUAUGCUCUCAUCCAGGUGAAAAGGAACUCAGAAAGAAUGUAAUUAGCCUCAUUUUCUAGCCUAAAACCUUGUGCAGUGGACCUAGAGGCUCCCAAACACGUGCUAAGGUGUAAGGGCCCAUGGGCUGCAUAUCAGUAGGUAACCAAGGCAUUCUUUUGUGUAUGUGUUGCCCAAAUCCCUUAAGAGCACCUAUACAUCUUGACAAUUUUC
rnacentral:lncRNA from 10 species